rnacentral:rRNA from 1 species
GACGAACGCUGGCGGCGUGCUUAACACAUGCAAGUCGAACGGAAAGGCCCUGCUUGCAGGGUACUCGAGUGGCGAACGGGUGAGUAACACGUGGGUGAUCUGCCCUGCACUUCGGGAUAAGCCUGGGAAACUGGGUCUAAUACCGGAUAGGAGCCAUUUUUAGUGUGAUGGUUGGAAAGUUUUUUCGGUGUAGGAUGAGCUCGCGGCCUAUCAGCUUGUUGGUGGGGUAAUGGCCUACCAAGGCGGCGACGGGUAGCCGGCCUGAGAGGGUGGACGGCCACAUUGGGACUGAGAUACGGCCCAGACUCCUACGGGAGGCAGCAGUGGGGAAUAUUGCACAAUGGGCGCAAGCCUGAUGCAGCGACGCCGCGGGGGGGAUGACGGCCUUCGGGUUGUAAACUCCUUUCGCUAGGAACGAAGCUUUUUGUGACGGUACCUAGAGAAGAAGCACCGGCUAACUACGUG